rnacentral:rRNA from 1 species
GACGAACGCUGGCGGCGUGCCUAAUACAUGCAAGUCGAACGGUCUUUUCUAUGGAAGCUUGCUUCCACUGAGAAGAUAGUGGCGAACGGGAGAGUAACACGUGGGUAACCUGCCCAUAAGAGGGGGAUAACAUCCGGAAACGGGUGCUAAUACCGCACAGUUUUCUUGAUUGCAUGAUCGAGAUAGGAAAGACGGCCUUUGUGCUGUCGCUUAUGGAUGGACCCGCGGGGUAUUAGUUAGUUGGUGAGGUAACGGCUCACCAAGACGAUGAUACGUAGCCGACCUGAGAGGGUGAUCGGCCACAUUGGGACUGAGACACGGCCCAAACUCCUACGGGAGGCAGCAGUAGGGAAUCUUCCGCAAUGGACGAAAGUCUGACGGAGCAACGCCGCGUGAGUGAAGAAGGUUUUCGGAUCGUAAAACUCUGUUGUCAGAGAAGAACAAGUUGGAGAGUAACUGCUCCAGCCUUGACGGUAUCUGACCAGAAAGCCACGGCUAACUACGUGCCAGCCGCCGCCGUAAGAC